GACGAACGCUGGCGGCGUGCUUAACACAUGCAAGUCGAACGGAAAGGCCCUGCUUUUGUGGGGUGCUCGAUUGGCGAACGGGUGAGUAACACGUGAGUAACCUGCCCUUGACUUUGGGAUAACUUCAGGAAACUUGGGCUAAUACCGGAUAGGAGCUCCUGCUGCAUGGUGGGGGUUGGAAUGUUUCGGCGGUUGGGGUUGGACUCGCGGCUUAUCAGCUUGUUGGUGGGGUAGUGGCUUACCAAGGCUUUGACGGGUAGCCGGCCUGAGAGGGUGACCGGCCAAAUUGGGCCUGAGAUAAGGCCCAGAAUCCUAAGGGAGGCAGCAGUGGGGAAUAUUGCACAAUGGGAGGAAGCCUGAUGCAGACACGCCGCGUGCGGGAUGACGGCCUUCGGGUUGUAAACCGCUUUCGCCUGUGACGAAGCGUGAGUGACGGUAAUGGGUAAAGAAGCACCGGCUAACUACGUG
rnacentral:rRNA from 1 species